AGAGUUUGAUCCUGGCUCAGGACGAACGCUGGCGGCGUGCCUAAUACAUGCAAGUCGAGCGGACAGAAGGGAGCUUGCUCCCGGAUGUUAGCGGCGGACGGGUGAGUAACACGUGGGUAACCUGCCUGUAAGACUGGGAUAACUCCGGGAAACCGGAGCUAAUACCGGAUAGUUCCUUGAACCGCAUGGUUCAAGGAUGAAAGACGGUUUCGGCUGUCACUUACAGAUGGACCCGCGGCGCAUUAGCUAGUUGGUGGGGUAAUGGCUCACCAAGGCGACGAUGCGUAGCCGACCUGAGAGGGUGAUCGGCCACACUGGGACUGAGACACGGCCCAGACUCCUACGGGAGGCAGCAGUAGGGAAUCUUCCGCAAUGGACGAAAGUCUGACGGAGCAACGCCGCGUGAGUGAUGAAGGUUUUCGGAUCGUAAAGCUCUGUUGUUAGGGAAGAACAAGUGCGAGAGUAACUGCUCGCACCUUGACGGUACCUAACCAGAAAGCCACGGCUAACUACGUGCCAGCAGCCGCGGUAAUACGUAGGUGGCAAGCGUUGUCCGGAAUUAUUGGGCGUAAAGGGCUCGCAGGCGGUUUCUUAAGUCUGAUGUGAAAGCCCCCGGCUCAACCGGGGAGGGUCAUUGGAAACUGGGAAACUUGAGUGCAGAAGAGGAGAGUGGAAUUCCACGUGUAGCGGUGAAAUGCGUAGAGAUGUGGAGGAACACCAGUGGCGAAGGCGACUCUCUGGUCUGUAACUGGCGCUGAGGAGCGAAAGCGUGGGGAGCGAACAGGAUUAGAUACCCUGGUAGUCCACGCCGUAAACGAUGAGUGCUAAGUGUUAGGGGUUUCCGCCCCUUAGUGCUGCAGCUAACGCAUUAAGCACUCCGCCUGGGGGAGUACGGUCGCAAGACUGAAACUCAAAGGAAUUGACGGGGGCCCGCACAAGCGGUGGAGCAUGUGGUUUAAUUCGAAGCAACGCGAAGAACCUUACCAGGUCUUGACAUCCUCUGACAACCCUAGAGAUAGGGCUUUCCCUUCGGGGACAGAGUGACAGGUGGUGCAUGGUUGUCGUCAGCUCGUGUCGUGAGAUGUUGGGUUAAGUCCCGCAACGAGCGCAACCCUUGAUCUUAGUUGCCAGCAUUCAGUUGGGCACUCUAAGGUGACUGCCGGUGACAAACCGGAGGAAGGUGGGGAUGACGUCAAAUCAUCAUGCCCCUUAUGACCUGGGCUACACACGUGCUACAAUGGACAGAACAAAGGGCUGCAAGACCGCAAGGUUUAGCCAAUCCCAUAAAUCUGUUCUCAGUUCGGAUCGCAGUCUGCAACUCGACUGCGUGAAGCUGGAAUCGCUAGUAAUCGCGGAUCAGCAUGCCGCGGUGAAUACGUUCCCGGGCCUUGUACACACCGCCCGUCACACCACGAGAGUUUGCAACACCCGAAGUCGGUGAGGUAACCUUUAUGGAGCCAGCCGCCGAAGGUGGGGCAGAUGAUUGGGGUGAAGUCGUAACAAGGUAACC
rnacentral:rRNA from 1 species